GAUGAACGCUGGCGGCGUGCCUAAUACAUGCAAGUCGAGCGAACAGACGAUGAUCUUGCUCCUCUGACGUGAGCGGCGGACGGGUGAGUAACACGUGGAUAACCUACCUCUAAGACUUAGAUAACUUCGAGAAACCGGAGCUAAUACCGGAUAAUAUAUUGAACCGCAUUGUUCAAUAGUGAAAGACGGUUUUGCUGUCACCUAUCGAUGUAUCCGCGUGGCAUUAGCUAGUUGGUCUGGUAACGGCUUACCAAGGCAACGAGGCGAAGCCGACCUGGGAGGGUGGUCGGCCACACUGGAACUGAGACACGGUCGAGACUGCUACGGGAGGCAGACGUCGGGAAGCUUCCGCAAUGGGCAAAAGCCUGACGGAGCAACGACCCGUGAGUGAUGACGGUCUUCGGAUCGUAAAACUCUGUUAGUAGGGAAGACCAAAUGUGUAAGUAGAUAUGCACGUCUUGACGGUACCUAAACAGAAAGCAACGGCUAACUACGUG
rnacentral:rRNA from 1 species